rnacentral:rRNA from 1 species
UGCCUUUAUCUGGGGGAUAGCCUUUCGAAAGGGAGAUUAAUACCCCAUAAUAUAUUUAUCGGCAUCGAUAGAUAUUGAAAACUCCGGUGGAUAGAGAUGGGCACGCGCAAGAUUAGAUAGUUGGUGAGGUAACGGCUCACCAAGUCUACGAUCUUUAGGGGGCCUGAGAGGGUGAUCCCCCACACUGGUACUGAGACACGGACCAGACUCCUACGGGAGGCAGCAGUGAGGAAUAUUGGACAAUGGGUGAGAGCCUGAUCCAGCCAUCCCGCGUGAAGGACGACGGCCCUAUGGGUUGUAAACUUCUUUUGUAUAGGGAUAAACCUACUCUCGUGAGAGUAGCUGAAGGUACUAUACGAAUAAGCACCGGCUAACUCCGUGCCAGCAGCCGCGGUAAUACGGAGGGUGCAAGCGUUAUCCGGAUUUAUUGGGUUUAAAGGGUCCGUAGGCGGAUCUGUAAGUCAGUGGUGAAAUCUCACAGCUUAACUGUGAAACUGCCAUUGAUACUGCAGGUCUUGAGUGUUGUUGAAGUAGCUGGAAUAAGUAGUGUAGCGGUGAAAUGCAUAGAUAUUACUUAGAACACCAAUUGCGAAGGCAGGUUACUAAGCAACAACUGACGCUGAUGGACGAAAGCGUGGGGAGCGAACAGGAUUAGAUACCCUGGUAGUCCACGCCGUAAACGAUGCUAACUCGUUUUUGGGUUUUCGGAUUCAGAGACUAAGCGAAAGUGAUAAGUUAGCCACCUGGGGGAGUACGUUCGCAAGAAUGAAACUCAAAGGAAUUGACGGGGGCCCGCACAAGCGGUGGAUUAUGUGGGUUUAAUUCGAUGAUACGCGAGGAACCUUACCAAGGCUUAAAUGGGAAAUGACAGGUUUAGAAAUAGACUUUUCUUCGGACAUUUUUCAAGGUGCUGCAUGGGUUGUCGUCAGCUCGUGCCGUGAGGUGGUUAAGGUUAAGUCCUGCAACGAGCGCAACCCCU